GUUGAUAUAAAAGAUGAUGGAUGAUGUUGUUGUUGGAGUUGGUGUGAAUAUUAGCGGGAGUUGAGAUGGUUGUAAUGUUGCAGGUUCUUUUUUUGUGUUAGGUUACUUGUCUAAUUUGAAUUAUUCCCGUGCAACAAAUUAAUGUGAAAUAUAUACUAGAAAAGAAUACUCGAAUACAAAUUUAGAUAAGUUGACCAGUUUGAUCAAAAAGAAAAAAAGAUAAGUUGACCAAAUGGUUUAGAUCAUCAUAUUGAAAAUCAAUUAAUUUCUCUUAUUUUUCUGCCUUUUCUUCACUUUGUCAGAAUAGUUUAGGCGUUGGUAUAAGUGAAUCAGUUAUUUAAGAAAGAACAUAACUUAAAUUAAUUAACCUUUAAAUUCACCUCUCCUUCUAAUACCAGUCAAAAGGCCACGUGGAUAAUUAACUAAAAAAUAUUAAAUUUAUUUUAAAAAAUACCUAAAAAAAGAAUAAUGCUAAUUUUAAUAACGUUGACGCCGCCUGCUAAACCGUAAACUCGAAAUCUUAAAUUUCCAAUUCUAAACCGUAAAUCUUAAACCCAAACCUUAUACCCUAAACCCAAAUCCUAGACCCUAAACCCAAACCGUAUACUCUAAACCCAAAUCCUAAACUCUAAAUUCAAACCGUAAACUUUAAAUCCAAACCAUAUACUCUAAACCAAAUCCUAGACCCUAAACCCAAACUGUAUACCCUAAAUCUAAAUCUUAAACUUAAAACCUAAACUGUAAAUCCUAAACGCAAACCCUAAACUUAGACGCUAUAAGAUUUGAAUUUAAGGUCUACGAUUUAGGUUUAGGAUAUAUGGUUUGAGUUUAGGGUUUAUGGUUUGGGUUUAGGGUAUACAGUUUGGGUUUACGGUAUACAAUUUGAGUUUAGGGUCUAGGAUUUGAGUUUAUGGUAUAAAAUAUAUGAUUUAAGGUUUAGGUUUAGAAUUUAAGAUUUAGGUUUUAUGGUUUAGCUUACGACGUCAUAACGUUAAAAUUGGCGUUAU
rnacentral:lncRNA from 1 species